GGGCACCGGCAACUCGGGUUUGCAAGAUGACACUGACCAGCAGUCAGUCCUAAAAGGCCAUAAAUCUGCUACUGAUUAAGCAGCGUUACUACUGAGAAUGCCCACAUCCCAUGUCUCCCCCAAGCCUCGGACAACCCCGUGACAUCAGUGUUUUGUCACCCGCCUUACAGUUGACGAUGAGGAGGCACACCGAGUCCGUGGGAGCAGGUCCAAGGCGGGACCCUCCUUGGGGACCCAGGCUUCAGGGGCAUUAGGUCCAGGUCACGCCUGCUCUUCCUGAGGCGGCGCAGCCUCAGAGCCACAGCAGAAAGUGGGCUGGGUGAGCAGCCGCGAUGCUGAAAUGGAAAUGUCGCCAGGCUCUUGCCAGGCUGGUCCCCCUCACACGGCUCACAGCCCCUCGGGGAUGAGGGACGGGGCCCAGGCCGGUGGUAGGAAGCCCAUUCGUUGCCAUCCUAUCUCCCGGGUGAGCAGAGGCUCUGCAGGCCUCCUCUGCCUCUACCACUCUGCCAGCCAUUCAGCGCUGCCUCCCAGGAGCUGUCUCAGGGCCGGUGCAUGCUGGGGAGUGUGUGUGUGUGUACUCGCACCCAAGCGUCUAGUCUUUUCUUUCCUACUUUCAUAAAAGUUGCCGGAGAAGUUAAAGCUGGGGAGCCCUGGCCCCAGCCAUUGUGAGGGGGCGGUGGUGUCGGACAGUCGCGCUCCAGGUGUGCUGUGCCUUUGUCCCCGUGAUUUUCAAAACUCCCUUUCAGCCCUGCUUCCCAUUAAUAACCGGGAGUGCUGCCGGCACAGAGCCCAGCCGAGGCCCGAGACAAUGGAGCUAUCGGAGGCCAGCUCGGAGCGCACUGACAUCCACGCUGUGGCAUAUUGAUUUUAUCUUCCUGUUAUGAAAACACCACCCCACUGAGGUGGGGAGGGAAGAAACGCUGCGCGGGGGGAGGGGGAGGAGGACGACGACUUUUGGGGCACGAUGCCCCGGCCCGGCCCGACCCUCCUCCCCAGACGCGAGCCCCCGAGACUGCUCUGAUGGGGCGACCUCUGCCCAGGGGACCCAGCCGGCAGCCUCGCCAGCCACCUCUGGCAGCCGCUCAGCGAGGCCAGCUGUUGGCCAUCUGGUGAAUGGCAGCUUCUGGAGCUGACUGCUGGGGGCUCCAGGUGGGCAGAGAGGCGCUGGACCUGGGAGCCCCCUUGAGGGUUUGGGCCCUCUCGAGGGUGGAGGCCUGUUUAGGCUGUGCCCCGGGGCAGGGCUGAGGGCCCGCCCUGCCCACACCGCACCUCCUUUGCUCCCAAGCAGCUUCAUACUCUCCAUCUCUAACUGGCCUGGCCCCAAACCACAGCACAUGAGAGGAAAGGAGCCUGACCUCAGACAGAAAACAACAGCUGGGCAACAACUGAGUGGGGCGGCUGGGAGGGGAGGGGGCAGAAGUUCAUGCCUGUGAGGGCGUGUGUUCCCAGGCACAUCCCCCCCCCCCACAACCAGUUUCAUACCUGCAGGGGCUUGUCUAGUCACAUGAGGUGCCUGAUUACACGCUGGAAUCUUCAGGGGUGCUCAGGAGAGUGUGGGGGGUGGAGGGAGGAUGCCAGCCAGCCGUGGCUCCCGUCCAGGAUGCUGGGACUGAACUCAGGCUGCGGUGCCACUCUGCCUUUCUGGCCUUGCUGCCGACCCCUCCCCAGCGCCUGGCCCCUGGCCUGUUCGUCUGUCCCCCUGCCAGAACCACACCAACUGACAGGCAGGCCAAAUGGAGGUAUCUGUGGUUUCCCUGGUCAACAAGCUGUGUCUUUAUUGAGCAGCCAAAGGCUGGUUCUUGCCUCCAGGGAGCUCACAGGCCAGGAUAUAACAAAUCUCGGCCUGGAAGUGUGACCAAUGACCCGAGAAUGUCUCUCCCAUCGAGACUGUUGCAGAGGCAGCUUCGAGGACUGGAUAAAAACAGGCUUCGGAGCCAGUCUGCCUGGAUUUGAAUUCCAUUCUAUCUUAGACUUGCUGAGUGACCCUGGACAAGUUACCUGACCUCUCUGGGCCUUACUUCUGUUAAAUGGGACUAGGUAAUUUUACCUUCCUGGUAAGAGUUGUUGUGAGGGCUGAGUGUGUUAAAACAGGUGUCAAAUGUUCAGUACAGAGCCCAGCCUGGUAAAUCCUAUAGAGGUUCUGUCAUCAUUGCCAUUGUCACUGCCACCCAGGUGGGGCCUAUGGGACAAGGCCAUGCCCCUGUUAGGAAAGGUAAAUCGUUUCUAGCCACACCAAGAGGAAAAGGUAAGGCUUCAGGUAAGACACAGGAGCAAGGCCUCAAGCAGGCAGGGAAAGGAAUUGGGUUUGUGGGUGGUUAGGCCUUAGGUUGACCUUGUGACAUGACCAAGGUGACUUGGCAGCAAGACGGGCCAGAGGGAAGAGGGCAUCUAGUGGGCCUCCAACUGAAGCUGAGUCAGCACCAGCUGGUAAGGACGAUGAUGGAGGGGAAGGGAUCUCACAGCUUUUGUCAGCCAUGAGGCCCUUUGCUCAAAGAACGCCCCGAGUCUCCACAGGGCUGAGGCCCCAUCUGGUGGCAGGUUGGGGGGCAGGGAGCUGAGCAGAAGGAGGAGUAGAGGCACAUUUUCCUCCGUGUGCAUUGAUGCUGGGCCGAGGGAGUUAAAGGCUUGAAUGUGUUGGCUUGGCUUCCUCCGUGAGGGCUCUAGUGCCACGUGUGAGCCAGAGCUACCCAAGCAGAAGGACUCGGAGAAGGGUCCCCAACAAGAUGACAAGUGUCAGCACUGUCAGGCCUUAGCAUCCCCAGUGGGCUGGCCAGGGAGCAGGAUGAGUGUCACGUAUGCUGGGGGCUGUAGGUAACCAACCCCCAUCCCAGGCCAUCACCUCCAAUGUGUGGACAGCCGGCUCCCUCCCAGGACAGGGGCUGCUGCUGCCCAGUGAUGGGGGACAGUCCUAGCUCUCCAGGGUGGGGAAGGCUGGCUGUGCUUCCAGCAGCUGGUUAGGGAAGUGAUGGCAGUUCUUUCUGUCAUUGCUGCCUUUGGGCCUGGGUUGAUUUUUUGGUUUCUUCCUUUUUUCCAUGGCCUGAGAAUUUCUUACAUGUCUUAGAUGAAAGGCCAAAAGGCAAGUUGGGCAAGCAGGGACUCCAGCCACGGAGCUACAGGGAGGGCCCAGCAGAGACACACACACAUACUGCUCACACUGCUCAAACCAAUAAACUGCUUCCCUGCAGCGGAGAUCAGCUCUUGAACCUUUCAGACGCAGGUUCCCAGAGCCCAGGAGGAACAGAGGAACCAUGCCACCCAGCCCCUCUAUUUUGUUGAUUAGAAGGGUGAGACUCAGAGCUCCCACCGUGGUGCAUUGGGUUAAGAAUCCAACUGCAGAGGCCUAGCUCAGUGGGUUAAAGGAUCUGCCAUUGUUGCAGCUGCAACUUGGAUUCAGUCCCUGGUCUGGAAACUUCCAUAUGACACAGGUGCAGCCAUUAAAAAAAGAAAAGAAAAGAGGGAUUUCCGUUCAUGGCUCAGGGGUUAACGAACCCGACUAGGAUCCAUGAGGAUGUGGGUUUGUUCCCUGGCCUCGCUGAGUGGGUUAAGGAUCCGGUGUUGCUGUGAGCUCUGGUGUAGGACACAGAUGUGUCUUGGAUCUGGCUUUGCUGUGGCUGUGGUGUAGGAUGGCGGCUGUAGCUCUGAUUAGACCCCAAGCCUGGGAAACUCCAUGUGCCAAAGGUUCAGCCCUAAAGAGCAAAAAAAGACAAGAAAAGAGUGAGACUCUGAGAAAGAAAGACUUGCAGAGGUCACCUAGUGAGUGAGAAACAGAACUGGCCUGGGCCGGCUCCUUCCCCACCCCAGGCUGCCUGCCAUAACACAUUCACCAUGGUAACCAUUCCGGCAGCAUUGUUAUGAUAACUUUUCCCAUCUGCUCAUCCACCUAGCAGACAGCAAACACUGAAUUUUGGCAAGAAAAUGGGUAUAUUUACCUCUUGUAUUAUAGGUGGAAAAUGUUAGGCCAAAGAUUAUGUCAAUUCAGCAUUGCACAGCUGGCGAGCGCUUUAAGCUCUUGGGUCAAACAGAACUGGGUUUGAAUCCUACUUCUGCCCUGUAGGAGCUGAAUACAUCUUUAAGCCUCAGUUGGUCUAUAAAAUGGGAAUAAUGAUAGUAUUUUUUCAUGAAGGAGUUGUGAGGAUAGAUUACAUUAACACACAUAGAAAAGCACAGGACAGUACCUGCCACUUGUUCAGCAUUCAAUAAAAGUUAAUUUUGUUAAGCACUCAAUAAAAGAGGUAACCCAGAGAUUGGGACCAAGUAUCCACACCUUUGGAGGAAACCCAUCCCUUUGUGAGUUGAAGCAAGUAGGCUGAAGGGAGACUCACUGGCCUGUCUCUUUCCUUGACUAAAGAGGCAGAAGGUGAAGCUGACCCCCCCAUGCUGCUGAGAAGCAGAAACAAAUGUGACUCCCGUAUUGGGAUGGAAGGGAAGCACCACUGCCCUGCAGUUGCUGCCGCAUGAAAUUUAAAUUAUUCUCAGCAAACCUGCUUGACAGAUGAAACAGAAAAGGGACGGCUUCAUAAAAUGCAAUUUUGUUCUUGAAAGAAUGGACUUUGCAGAAUCCUCGCUGAUGUCUGUGAAAUGUACUGGGGGCUUUUUCUCCUUGUGGUCAGGAGCACUCAUGCUGAAACAUUCCCAUCGUUCCUCGGAGCUAAGCCCUUGAAAAUGAAUCUGGACUGGGAAGAGAGAAACUUAGCCUGUGUCACAGGCCCAGGGAAAACUGAAAGGGGCCUGUGGGAAUCUGUGGGCUCCAUCCUCAGAGCCCCAAACACCCAGAUUUGUGACAUUUCUGAGUACUAGGGACAUCUGUCAUCAUAGCAACAACCCUGGAAGCGUCUUCCUCAUGCACCCUAAAUUCCUCGGGGACAUGCUUCUGCUGGGAAAGAUGAUCUGGGGUUCCUAUGGGGAAUCACACAUAUGACCGCAUGGCCCCACGUGGCCCCCCUUUUCCUGCAGUUCUAGGGGUCCGUGAACGGAUAAAAGCAGCUUUUGCCCAGUUACAGAGUGAGAAGCAGACCUCUCUUUCCUCUUGGACUCACGUUGCAAGCCAGAGGCUACUGAGUGGGCUCACGUGGGAGUAUCACUCAAGCUCCUUUUGUGGUGCAUUCCCAGGCUGUGGGUGAUUUGCUCUGGAAGGUUGUUUCCUACUCCAUGGACAAGAAUUGGAGAGCUCCUCUGCAAUACAUUAUCAGGCCCUGAUAAUGCAUCGUGAGACGACUUGUGCGUGUUUGUACCGAGCUAAUGGGUUUUGCUGGCACUUUAAGUGUCAGCCACAGUCUGGGUUGUAUCUUCAUUGACUUGAAACCCAUCCAUUGGUCACAAAGGGGGUACAAAAUUGAAAUGUGUCAUGAUUUCCCAAGCACUCAUUCCAAAGCCCACAAUUUGGGGAGGGCAGACCUGGGUGACUUGAUUUCUUAUAUUUCUGACUAAAGGGGCAAAAAGAAGGAGGAAGGUCUUAUACGUUUCCAUGUUUGUAAGGGAUGAGCCAUAGUCUGGAUAAAAAGCAGCUGUGGUUUCCAAAGAAAGGUUGUCAGAAGAUGUGGUUGACUGGAGCCAUUUGUGUGUAUAAGCUAGCUUUUGCUGCAUAACAACCAUCCCCAAACUUAGUGUCUUAAAACCAUCCCAGUCCUGUGGGUAGGUUAUCAGUUCUGGCUGGGCUGGGCUGGGCUAGUUCAGCUGAUCCUUGCUAGCCUCUCUCAUUUGUCUGUUCUCAGUGGUAAGAUGGCUAGUGGCUGGUGGCCUCAUUCAUACAUCUGUGCUCAGAGGACUCUCAGCCCAGGCGUCUCAGUUCUGUGUGCAUCCUGGCAUCCUCUCUCCAGCUAUCACAGGCGUGUUCACAUGAUAGUCUCAGGCUUCCAGGAGCAGUAAGAGGGUAAGGCUUAGUCACAAUUGCUUUCCUAACCAUUUAACCAAUAGGCUAAAAUCCUAUUGGCCAAGGCAGUCACAUGGCCAAGGAGUGACAAAAAGAAACCCUGCCCCUUACAAGGAGGUGCUGCAACACCACACUGCAAAGGGGCAGGCAUGUAAGGAUGGGAAGCGUUUGUGGUCAUUUUUGUAAUAUACCCCCAGUGUUGCCAACACACAUAAACAUAGUCAUUCACCCUCUAGCUUCCCGCUGAGGCUCGCAUGCCUCAGACAGAAAGGAUAGGACCAAUCUGUUCCACUCUUCUGCAUGGCCUAGUGUAAGGAAUCAACAUGGCACAGUGGUGACAUAUACACACCUGGGUAUGUAUACACACAUGCCAUCCACACCAAGAGCUGCCUAGGGAGGUCUGAAAGGGGACACCUGGUGAGGAUCGUGUUGCCAGGGAGAAGGCAGGAACCUCGCAGGAUGCAAUCGCCUUGAGAAUGCACUGGCCAGGACUUGGACUUCAGCCCUGAAGGCUCCAAUCUUGAUCCCAUCACUGCCCCCAGAGCUAGUGGGACUGGAGCAUUGCUGUUCCCAGGACAUUCACAAGGACAGAUGCUAACCUGUGGAUUCAGAAUCAAAAAUCCACCCCAAGAAGACCACCUUCCUGGACUUUGCCCAGCGACUCUCUCCCUGUGAGAAUCCACAUAGGAAAACAAAGUUUAACCAGAAGACUUUCUGCUGAGCCUAAAAUCAGGAAAGGGAGCCAGUUAUAUGAUGCAAAUAUUCAGUAGCUGCAGAUCGGACUCGCCCUGGCUCUCUCUCCCUCCUAGGAUAAAUCCCAUGCUGUUCCCCAAAAAAGCUCUUGGAAAGACCUCUUCUUAAAUUAAAUUAGGUUUUCUGCAAACAGCGUCAUUCAAGAUAAACAUAAAUCUACUUCUUAUUCAGUUUUAAUGGUUUUCCCUGUUUCAUUUAAUUACUCAUGUUGCAAUUAAACAUUUUUUUUUCAUGGCAGAAGGACAGUUUUUUAGCUACAUUAUGGGUUAAAUAGGCUUUGCAGAACUAGCCUGGGAAUCUCAUCACCAUUUAUAACAUUGUUUUUUAUAGGGAAAGUAUGUUCCAAAAUCUAAACAGCCAAAUUACAAAUGAACUUUCAGAACCCAAUCCAUUUGUUAACUGGAAACUGUCUGUAAUGCUAAAAAUAAUUCAGGGAAAUAAACAUAAAGAGGCGAGUUCAAUACCCCUGGGUAUCAUUUGUUCCCCCAUCAGCAUUUGCAGAGUUAGUGAGAAUUUCCUCCAGACCCAGACUGACCCUAUCCCUGUUUUACUGACUGUCGUGACACAAAUGGUCCCAUUGGCUAAAGUCCUCCCAGAGCAUCAUGCCACAGAGAGGAGUCGUUGUGCAGAACUACGCCGAUGCAGCAUAGCGGAUUAUCAGUCUGUUUCAGCACCACACACACUGCGCUAAAAUGAAGGCUUAGAACUCUGCGGGGCUCUGCUGCAGUGUCCACCAGUCGGGGCGAAUUCAUUUGCACGGGGAAUCUGCAUCUCUAGAACCUGUAGACAGAAAACCUUAUUUUGCUCCGGUUUAAAAAAAAAAAAAAAA
ensembl:lncRNA